UACGUAGGUGGCAAGCGUUGUUCGGAAUUACUGGGCGUAAAGGGCGCGUAGGCGGACAUUUAAGUUAGAGGUGAAAGCCCAGGGCUCAACCCUGGAAUAGCCUUUAAUACUGGAUGUCUUGAGUUCGGGAGAGGUGAGUGGAAUGCCGAGUGUAGAGGUGAAAUUCGUAGAUAUUCGGCGGAACACCAGUGGCGAAGGCGACUCACUGGCCCGAUACUGACGCUGAGGCGGCGAAAGCGUGGGGAGCGAACGAGGA
rnacentral:rRNA from 1 species